GGAGUUGUAGCUCAGAGGUAGAGCAUUUGCCUUGUACAUGUGAGGCACUGGGUUCAAUUCCCAGCACCA
rnacentral:tRNA from 1 species